rnacentral:rRNA from 1 species
UCCGCCAGAGAACUACGAGCAAUACGCUUAAAACUCUAAGGACUUGGCGGUACCUCAAACCCCCCUAGAGGAGCCUGUUCUAUAAUCGAUAACCCACGAUCUACCUCACCAUCCCUUGCCAAUUCCGCCUAUAUACCACCGUCACCAGCUUACCCUAUGAAGGGACACAAAAGUAAGCAAAACAGCCUAAACAACUAACAAGUCAGGUCAAGGUGUAGCUAAUUGAGAUGGAAGAAAUGGGCUACAUUUUCUACAUUAGAAAUAAUUCACGGAAGGAACCAUGAAAUGGGUCCCACAAGUAGGAUUUAGCAGUAAACUGGGGAUAGAG